rnacentral:ncRNA from 24 species
GGGUGUCCAGACCGCAUGGGGCGGCAGGACAGGUGUUGAUAGCGCAGGUCGGGCCGCCUGCG